UACAGAGGGUGCAAGCGUUGUUCGGAAUUAUUGGGCGUAAAGAGCUCGUAGGCGGUGUGUCACGUCGGCCGUGAAAACCUGCAGCUUAACUGUGGGCGUGCGGUCGAUACGGGCAUCACUGGAGUUCGGCAGGGGAGACUGGAAUUCCUGGUGUAGCGGUGAAAUGCGCAGAUAUCAGGAGGAACACCGAUGGCGAAGGCAGGUCUCUGGGCCGAUACUGACGCUGAGGAGCGAAAGCGUGGGGAGCGAACAGG
rnacentral:rRNA from 1 species